rnacentral:tRNA from 1 species
GUGGCGGAAUUGGUAGACGCAAGGGACUUAAAAUCACUCGGGGCUUGUACCUGUACGAGUUGGAUUCUCGUCCUAGGCACCA